AUUGAACGCUGGCGGCAGGCCUAACACAUGCAAGUCGAACGAGUGGCGGACGGGUGAGUAAUGUCUGGGAAACUGCCCGAUGGAGGGGGAUAACUACUGGAAACGGUAGCUAAUACCGCAUACCAUCGGAUGUGCCCAGAUGGGAUUAGCUAGUAGGUGGGGUAACGGCUCACCUAGGCGACGCUCCCUAGCUGGUCUGAGAGGAUGACCAGCCACACUGGAACUGAUGCACGGUCCAUACUCCUACGGGAGGCAGCAGUGGGGAAUAUUGCACAAUGGGCGCAAGCCUGAUGCAGCCAUGCCGCGUGUGUUAAGAAGGCCUUCGGGUUGUAAAGCACUUUCAGCGAGGAGGCGUUACUCGCAGAAGAAGCACCGGCUAACUCCGUGCCAGCAGCCGCGGUAAUUC
rnacentral:rRNA from 1 species